rnacentral:rRNA from 1 species
GAUGAACGCUGGCGGCGUGCCUAAUACAUGCAAGUCGAGCGAACAGAUAAGGAGCUUGCUCCUUUGACGUUAGCGGCGGACGGGUGAGUAACACGUGGAUAACCUACCUAUAAGACUGGGAUAACUUCGGGAAACCGGUGCUAAUACCGGAUAACAUAUUGAACCGCAUGGUUCAAUAGUGAAAGGCGGCUUUGCUGUCACUUAUAGAUGGAUCCGCGCCGUAUUAGCUAGUUGGUAAGGUAACGGCUUACCAAGGCAACGAUACGUAGCCGACCUGAGAGGGUGAUCGGCCACACUGGAACUGAGACACGGUCCAGACUCCUACGGGAGGCAGCAGUAGGGAAUCUUCCGCAAUGGGCGAAAGCCUGACGGAGCAACGCCGCGUGAGUGAUGAAGGUCUUCGGAUCGUAAAACUCUGUUAUCAGGGAAGAACAAAUGUGUAAGUAACUGUGCACAUCUUGACGGUACCUGAUCAGAAAGCCACGGCUAACUACGUG